UGAGGAAUAUUGGCCAAUGGACGAGAGUCUGAACCAGCCAAAUCGCGUGAAGGAAGACUGCCCUACGGGUUGUAAACUUCUUUUGUACAGGAAUAAAAGACAUUACGUGUAAUGUAUUGCAUGUACUGUACGAAUAAGCAUCGGCUAACUCCGUGCCAGCAGCCGCGGUAAUACGGAGGAUGCGAGCGUUAUCCGGAUUUAUUGGGUUUAAAGGGUGCGCAGGCGGGAUUUUAAGUCAGCGGUGAAAUUUUCAGGCUCAACCUGAACACUGCCGUUGAAACUGGGAUUCUUGAGUAUGGAUGAAGUAGGCGGAAUUCGUUGUGUAGCGGUGACAUGCUUAGAUAUAACGAGGAACUCCGAUUGCGUAGGCAGCUUACUAAGCCAUAACUGACGCUCAAGCACGAAAGCGUGGGGAUCAAACA
rnacentral:rRNA from 1 species